GUGGGGAAUAUUGGACAAUGGGCGCAAGCCUGAUCCAGCCAUGCCGCGUGAGUGAUGAAGGCCUUAGGGUUGUAAAGCUCUUUCACCGAUGAAGAUAAUGACGGUAGUCGGAGAAGAAGCCCCGGCUAACUUCGUGCCAGCAGCCGCGGUAAUACGAAGGGGGCUAGCGUUGUUCGGAUUUACUGGGCGUAAAGCGCACGUAGGCGGUUUGUUAAGUCAGGGGUGAAAUCCCGGAGCUCAACUCCGGAACUGCCUUUGAUACUGGCAAGCUAGAGUCCGGAAGAGGUAAGUGGAACUCCUAGUGUAGAGGUGGAAUUCGUAGAUAUUAGGAAGAACACCAGGGGCGAAGGCGGCUUACUGGUCCGGAACUGACGCUGAGGUGCGAAAGCGUGGGGAGCAAACAGGAUUAGAAACCCGAGUAGUCC
rnacentral:rRNA from 1 species